CAAAUUAGGGUUUUCAAAGAAACCAAUCUCACUUGCCGCUGCUACUUUCUCUCACACUAUUAUCUGCCACUGCUAUCCCUAACUCUCUCUCACACUAUUAUCUGCCACCGCCGCUGCUACUUUCACCUUUUGUUCCUUCCAUUCCACCAAAAAGCUGUCAUGAGCGAACCUUUGUUAUGUUUAACUACAAACAGCUUCAUUGUAGAGAUCGGAUGCUAUUCCUUGAUAAUGAUUUCGAUUUCAACAACGAGUGUAAUUUUUUUGAUUAAACAAGUGAAUGUGAGUCAACAUGUCAGGAGCUCAAGAAGAUGUCUGCAUAUGGGAUUACCAACAAGGUGGCAAAAACUCUCACCUCAAAGCUAAAAAACUCAUUGACGAAAUCCGUUAUUGGUUCACUCAAUCCAAUGGUAAAAAUCACUUAAUUCCGGUUUAUAACUCGAAUUUUGUUUUAUUCUGAUUCUGUACAUUGUUCCUUCCCAAAGCCACUUCAUAUCGAUGACUUGAAAACCCUAAUCUAUGAAGGCAUGGUUGCUGCUUUCGAUCUAAAGAUUUGUGAUGAAAGCGAUGGAGAUGUGAAACAGUACAUGAUUACGCAAUGUUGGAACGGAGGCAAAUUAAUGCCUCUAAUAGGGAUUUGAGCUAUAGCCCUACACAGUCUAAGUUAGCAAUGAUAAUGUCCCUGCCUGCACAAGAGGCAGCCACAUUUAAAAUUAUCCUCUUGCAGCAGUUCCGGAGUGAAAAUAUUUGCAGCAACAAUUCUACUUAUAACUCUGACAUAGAGAGAAAAUUAGUUAGUAUUCAUUCUUAUUAUUGUCUAGAUACUGAGCAACAUAUCUAUACAUAUCCCAUCAUCAUACACUGUGGAGUAUGCUGAGAAAAACCGAGAAAACGGCCUAAGGUCUGACUACAGGAGAGGAUAACGGAAUCAUACAUGAUUUCAAGUGAAAUCAGACAUUUGAAGUGUUCAAGAAGCUGUUCAGCCGCCAUUGCUGUCUUUUUGGCUAAAAGAAAUCUAAACCUAAUCUUUGAGUUUGAAUGCCACCAUCGAUCUCGUUUGUUGGUUCCAUAAAAACGAUGUUUAGAAUGAUCAAAAGGAAGAAGAAAGUCUUCCAGCUCAGGGAAAAGAAAGUCUACUUUGUGGGAUGUUAAGUCAGAAGUUCAAAAGGGUGGCUCCAUAAAAAUGGAACUCAAAAAUUUUAUUUAUUGAUAUUGAUCAUGUUUUAAAUUAUCUUUUACAUAGCUUCUGAUUCGGUUUAUUUCAUUUUAUGAAUUCAAAUAAUACUCUGAUUAAUGGAUGUUUAAAUACAAUUGAUGUUAUAGGAAGUGAUGUUAUAGUUAGCUGAUGUUAUAGGAAGUGAGAGAUAGAAAUAAAAUGGCAUUUGAAUGGAUGUAAGAAAA